rnacentral:rRNA from 1 species
CCUACGGGGGGCAGCAGUGAGGAAUAUUGGUCAAUGGGAGGAAGCCUGAACCAGCCAUGCCGCGUGCAGGAAGACGGCGCUACGAGUUGUAAACUGCUUUUGUACGGGGGUAAAAUGCCUUACGUGUAGGGUUUUGAAAGUACGGUACGAAUAAGGAUCGGCUAACUCCGUGCCAGCAGCCGCGGUAAUACGGAGGAUCCGAGCGUUAUCCGGAUUCAUUGGGUUUAAAGGGUGCGUAGGUUGUUUUGUAAGUUAGCGGUGAAAUACCGAUGCGCAACAUCGGGGCUGCCGCUAAUACUGUCGGACUAGAGCUCGGCUGCAGCAGGCGGAAUGUGUGGUGUAGCUGU